AUGGUCAUCUGCAACAAAGGAGGCGGCAUCUCGCUCAGGCGCUCUAGUGCGCGGCUAAGGGCAAGUGGGCAGGCUCCGAUGGCUAAGAGGGCCGAGGCCCUCGUUUGCCGUAGCCUGGGCAUUGUCCAGAAUGGUGAGGACAUCACCAUGCAAGCUAUGGACAACUUCGGCAAGAAAUUCAAAGAUCGUCUCCCUGACGACGUGAUUGGAGCUAUGAGGGCUCUUUUCAAGCUUGAUGACGACCGUAUCUAUCCGGCUGAGGCUGGGCUCAUCGCGCAUGGUGGCUCCACAGCGCUCGAUCACGUUGACGAGGCUACUGCCUGA
rnacentral:rRNA from 1 species